GUCUAUGGCCAUGCUACCCUGAACAAGCCCGAUCUUGUCUAAUCUCAGAAGCUAAGCAGGGUUGGGCCUGGUUGGUACCUGGAUGGGAGACCACCUAGGAAGACCAGGUGCUGUAGGCA
rnacentral:rRNA from 1 species